CGGUAUAUUGACCGUGCGAAGGUAGCAUAAUAAUUAGUCUUUUAAUUGAAGACUGGAAUGAAAGGUUGAACAAGAAGUUAGCUGUCUCUAAAUUAAAUUUUGAAUUUAACAUUUAAGUGAAAAGGCUUAAAUAUUUUAAAGGGACGAUAAGACCCUAUAAAUCUUUAUACUUGAUUUUAUAGAGCAAAAUAUUAAAAUAAUUUUUGUUCAAUAGGUUUGGGUAUUUUGUUGGGGCGACAGGAGUAUAAAAUGUAACUGCUCUAAAAUGAUAGUUAGUUGAUAUUUAGUUAAGUGAUCCUUUAAUAAAGAUGUUAGUUUAAGUUACUUUAGGGAUAACAGCGUAAUUUUUUUUGAGAGUCCAUAUCGAAAAAAAAGUUUGCGACCUCGAUGUUGAAUUAAAGAUCCUUUACGGUGCAGAAG
rnacentral:rRNA from 1 species